UUUUUUUAUUUCCCCAAUAAUUUUUUUUUCUACUGUACAGCAUGGUGACCCAGUUACACACAUGUAUACAUUCUUCUUUCUCACAUUAUCAGGUUCUAUCAUAAGUAACUAGACAUAGUUCCCAGUGCUACACAGCAGGAUCUCAUUGCUAAUCCAUUCCAAAGGCAAUAGUGUGCAUCUAUUUUUUUCUGCCAUUUUUUUUUUUUAUACCAUUUCUUGAGUCGCUUCCCAUGGCAUAUGGAGCGGCCCAAGAAAUGGCAAAAAGACAGAAAAAAGAAAAAAAGAAAGAAAAAAGAAAGAAAGAAAGAAAAAAGAGAUAAUGUGAAUUUCCUCACAAAAGCUUUCUGAAAUAACUCCGACCAUGGGUACAAAGAUUCAGAGCUCUCCCUAAAACUGCGUGGGUAAAACUCUUAACCAACCGCCUAAAAUAGAAAAGGUUUUCAAAGAUUUCCUUGAGGUUCCUAUUUAGAAAGAAAGAGCAUGCCCUCCCACUAGUGGAAGAAUUAAGUAAUUGCUUGACUUUCCAAGAAAGUUUCACAGGCUCCAUCUUAUGGUGAAAUCUGUUUGCUAAGCUGUAGAGCCAUCCCAUAAUUCAUUGUCUGCAUGAGAAGUAAAUUAAAGAGAUCAGUGAAAACUCCAGGGUCUAGAGAAGGCAGGAACAUAAAGAAAAACAAACCAAGUGCCAGAAAAAUUAUCAAAUUGUAUUUUUCUGACCUAAGGUUGCAACCAAACCACAUAAUACCUGCCUGUUUCAUACUGAUGGUUGUAUUUGAAAUUCAAAAUUGAAAAAAAAAAAAAGAUAAAAUAGAAAUAUUUUACUUCCAACAUUUCUUUUACAAUGUGUUGACUUUUGGAAGCAGAAAUCUACAACUUUUUCUUUGGCAUCGAUAUGCCAUUGUUAAAUUUUGGAUCAAGUUUGAAGUGAACACAGAAUUAAGUUUGACAAGUAGUUUUGACUAGGAAUGACGUUUAAUAUUGGAAAAGAGCUGUGGAAAAACAUAGGUAUUGCCCAAGAGUUUCGAAAAUCUUGGCACACUCACUAAGGUAUUUUCAGGAGUUGGACUCUCCAGGGUCACGACGCUAAAUUUUCCAUCCUGUAUGAUCCUGUGGAUCAUCUUUCACAUUGUCGGUAAGAAUUGAUAAAGGAGCACAGAGCAGUGGGAGUUUAUCUUCAGAGUCAGAGAUCAGCAGGUCACUUUGGGAACUCAGUGUCACUGUCCCCAUCAUGACAUUCAGGCCACCAGUUACAGUUCUAGAAACUAUUCUUAGCCCAGAAAAGAAGAGGACCAGAAAACACUGCCAGAUAACUGUCUCCACAAUGUUUUAUAACUCCUGGAGAUGCCUUUGCGGGGAAAUUCAAGGUGUUUGUCAACCCCAAAGACCACUUACAUGAUGACAAUUUUUGCUGCUCAGCACAAGCAAAGUUGGUUUUUUUGCCCCCCCCCCCACCUUAGAAGAUAGGAAUGAGUUCAUUUCAACAGUUCAACAAUUCUCCUUGGCUUUAGCAGUGACAAAGCCUCCCAACCUACCUGCAGCGAGGAGACAUCUGUGUUGUGUCCAAUUCAUCGAAUUGCCCAGGAUGCUCUGCGGCCCAAGCGCCAGGAAGAGAUCCAGCUUACAGGUGGUGAGCUCUGUGUCUGUGACGUGUUCCAUUUUUAACUUCUGGCAGAAAGCAAUUCCUUGAAUAAUGCAAAUGGGUAGAUCUAAAGGCUGUGUCCUUAUAUAACUUGCAACAUGGAACUUAAGUUUAAUGGCAAGUCCAAUAUUAGCCUUAUCUCUCUGUUGGGGAGACGGCUUGGAUCGUCAGUGCCAGAAAUUGAGACACAUGAACAUGGGGAGAUCUCAACAAGGCUCUUUACUUCUGCAGAAGGGCACAGGUACUCAAAAAGUGCGU
ensembl:lncRNA